rnacentral:rRNA from 1 species
AUACGUAGGUGGCGAGCGUUGUCCGGAAUUACUGGGCGUAAAGGGUGCGUAGGCGGAAUAUUAAGUCAGAUGUGAAAACCCAGGGCUCAACUGUGGGACUGCAUUUGAAACUGAUAUUCUAGAGUGCAGGAGAGGGAAGCGGAAUUCCUAGUGUAGCGGUGAAAUGCGUAGAUAUUAGGAAGAACACCAGUGGCGAAGGCGGCUUCCUGGACUGUAACUGACGCUGAGGCACGAAAGCGUGGGGAGCAAACAGGAUUAGAUACCCUGGUAGUCCACGCUGUAAACGAUGAGUGCUAGGUGUAGGAGGUAACGAUACUUUCUGUGCCGCAGCAAACGCAAUAAGCACUCCGCCUGGGGAGUACGGUCGCAAGACUAAA